rnacentral:rRNA from 1 species
AUGACAUGUUGUGUGAUUCUUCAUAAUAUGAUUCUCAAAGAUGAGAGAGGCAUGAACUUGGAGUUCUUCUACAACAAUGUGGGUAGCCGUGUCAAACCAGCUAGAGAACCUAACCGCGUUAGAGCAUUUCUGCAGACCUACCGGGAGAUUGAAGAUGCAAACACCCACUUUUAGCUUCAGGAGGAUCUCACUGAAAACCAUUGGGAAGGGCUGGGCGGUAACACAUUCCAUUUUUGCAUUCAUUUCAUUUAA